rnacentral:rRNA from 1 species
AAGUCGAGCGAACAGACGAGGAGCUUGCUCCUCUGACGUUAGCGGCGGACGGGUGAGUAACACGUGGAUAACCUACCUAUAAGACUGGGAUAACUUCGGGAAACCGGAGCUAAUACCGGAUAAUAUAUUGAACCGCAUGGUUCAAUAGUGAAAGACGGUUUUGCUGUCACUUAUAGAUGGAUCCGCGCCGCAUUAGCUAGUUGGUAAGUUAACGGCUUACCAAGGCAACGAUGCGUAGCCGACCUGAGAGGGUGAUCGGCCACACUGGAACUGAGACACGGUCCAGACUCCUACGGGAGGCAGCAGUAGGGAAUCUUCCGCAAUGGGCGAAAGCCUGACGGAGCAACGCCGCGUGAGUGAUGAAGGUCUUCGGAUCGUAAAACUCUGUUAUUAGGGAAGAACAAAUGUGUAAGUAACUAUGCACGUCUUGACGGUACCUAAUCAGAAAGCCACGGCUAACUACGUGCCAGCAGCCGCGGUAAUACGUAGGUGGCAAGCGUUAUCCGGAAUUAUUGGGCGUAAAGCGCGCGUAGGCGGUUUUUUAAGUCUGAUGUGAAAGCCCACGGCUCAACCGUGGAGGGUCAUUGGAAACUGGAAAACUUGAGUGCAGAAGAGGAAAGUGGAAUUCCAUGUGUAGCGGUGAAAUGCGCAGAGAUAUGGAGGAACACCAGUGGCGAAGGCGACUUUCUGGUCUGUAACUGACGCUGAUGUGCGAAAGCGUGGGGA